CACAAAUAUUAAAUCCCCCACCCCCACAUAAAUAAAGAAGCCUAUUCAACCCUUGAAUAAGGUUUGAAGGAAAGAUAUAUACUGAAUUUCACCUAUCUGUUUGCCCGCCUUGACUGCUAAGGAAUUAUGGCAUUACAUUAAAUUUGACCGACUGCUGGACUAUCAACAGACUAUGGGAUCCAGCUAUGAGAGGAUGAAUGACAAAGUGGAUCUAAGACUGUGCUGAGUUACCUGUCUGUCCAUCCAACAAGAGAAAGGAGACGCAUUGGUGAACAAUUGCAAAAUGGAUGUGGAGUGAAAAGUGAAAUACCUGGCGAUGCGAUGGUAUAUUUGAUGAUGUGGAAGUUAUUGACGAUGAUGUGAGCUGUUACGUAACCUCCCCUUGUGGAACUUAGUGCCUGUUAAAACUGAUUCAGGAACAGAUAGACAUGCCCAUGUCCAUAUGAUCCACAUAAACAAUCUCCGAAAGGAAAUGAAUUACACCUACUGAGAGAUGGGUUAUGAGAAGGCUUUGUCCAAUACAUGUUAUUACAUUUUGUAAGAGAAAUAAUGUUUGAUUAGGG
rnacentral:lncRNA from 13 species